AUUGAACGCUGGCGGCAGGCCUAACACAUGCAAGUCGAACGAGUGGCGGACGGGUGAGUAAUGUCUGGGAAACUGCCUGCUGGAGGGGGAUAACUAUUGGAAACGGUAGCUAAUACCGCAUACUAUCGGAUGUGCCCCGAUGGGAUUAGCUUGUUGGUGGGGUAACGGCUGACCAAGGCGACGAUCCCUAGCUGGUCUGAGAGGAUGACCAGCCACACGGGAACUGAGACACGUUCCAGACUCCUACGGGAGGCAGCAGUGGGGAAUAUUGCACAAUGGGCGCAAUCCUGAUGCAGCCAUGCCGCGUGUAUGAAGAAGGCCGUCGGGUUGUAAAGUACUUUCAGCGGGGAGGCGUUACCCGCAGAAGAAGCACCGGCUAACUCCGUGCCAGCAGCCGCGGUAAUUC
rnacentral:rRNA from 1 species